UACUACAAACACUGCUGCUCACAGCUUCUAGCAACUUAUGUUAGACAGCAACAGGUCAUAACAGAAUAUUAAUUUAACUUAUAAACACUUUGUUUUGCUUUUCAUUUUGCUGUUUGCCAAGAUCAUGACUGAAAACAGAUUGAUCGUGAUGAAAGGGACUCAAACUUUGUAUCUGCUUUUUAUAUCAGAAUGAUGCUGCUUUGCACUGGGAUCUUCAGAUGUUCACCUUAUUACUCUCUCUAAGACCUACACAGAAGCAAAGACCUAUUGCAGAGAGAUGUACACUGAUUUAGCUACAGUUCACAGCUCCACAGAUAUGGAUAAUUUGAUAACUUUAGUUCCAAGUACCAUUCCCAGAGCCUGGAUAGGUCUGGAGGCUGGAGAUGAGUGGAUGUGGCAUUGGUCCUGGCCUGAUAAAAUACUGGAUUUUCACCAGUAAAGAAUAAAGAUGUAUGUGCAGCAAUGGAUCAACACAGCAAGUGGAUUGAAAGUGACUGUGGAACUAAGAGAAGUUUUGUUUGUCAUGGAAACCUGAAAAAUAAGACAUGGAUUGAAGCCAUGAGUUACUGCAGGGAGCACCAUGUUGACCUUGUCCACAUUACCACCACAGACAUUCAAGGGAAGGUGGCUGAAAUGGCAAAGAACACCACAUCAUCCCAUGUUUGGCUAGGUCUACGGUACACUUGUAAAUUUAACUUUUGGUUCUGGACUAAGUCAACUCCUGGCUGUUACCAGAACUGGGCCCCCAGACAAGGAUCUGAAGGGAAAUACAACUGUGGUGUUACAGGUGCCAUUGAGGCCACUGGGAGGCAGCAGUGGGUAGGCUUGCCUGAGACAGAGAAACUGAAUUUCAUCUGCUGCGCAUGCACUGGAUGAGUGUCAGUGUCACUUCAGAUGACAAUGUUGUUGACCAGCUUUUAUAAUGACUUAUGGACACAUGAUAUUGUUCUGGUUAUACAUGCUUUGCUGUUUCAAAAUUAUGUUUUUGCAGUUAUUAAUUAAACAUUAAAUAAAAUGUUUUUCACAAUUGUGACAUCAGGCUAGUAGACUUUGAUGGACUUUAACAGAGGUAUCAUGCUUAUUCUAAUGCUCACUUAUGAUAUCAUGCCUCUACCUUUGUUGAAUUACAGCUGCCUGCUCUAUUGUUCAUUUUGCAUUUCAUUAAAUACUAAAACCUUAUGUGGUGUGUAGGCGUGCACAUUCAUAGUCAUGGGCAGCAAGAGUGAUGUGAGAACAUUGAUCUGCUCUAUGCCUUUCAGUCAGGGGUUACUAUUUGCAUGUUGACCCCCUGGGUUGGGCCCCAAAAUUGUCUUUUUUAGACCACCAGAGUGUGGCCCCGAUCCAGACUGCCUGCUGCCCUCAUUGACCUGACCUUAACUCUCGACCACAUAGAAGACAGAGCUCACAGAUGCUCACCUGUCUGCACCCAUGAGCAUCUAUAACCAUGGAACCUGAAAAUUAUACGUUUUUAUUGAAUCUCACACUGUAUAACAAAAAUGCAACUGUGAAUACACUGUUUUCACUGUUAUCAGACAACUUGUUCCAUAGAGCAAAUCUUUGGAGAAACAUGAUGUGUUGCCUUUGUAUUUUUUAUUUGUAUAUUUCUUCACUUUUCAGUUUUCACAACACAGUACAAACAUCUUGCCGCUUUUGAAAUUAAUGUCUCCAGAGACAUGUUUUAAUGGACUUUAAUUGUCAUUUGGCACACGUUUAAAGUCUGUGUUCCUUGAGGUGAAAAAGAAGAAAGUGUUUGAAGAAUGAUACAACACAGGAACUCUACUGUAUAUUGCACUUAAUUUGUAAGCUAUAAUAACUGUUGUCAGUUGAAACUA